rnacentral:rRNA from 1 species
AGUGAACGCUGGCGGUAGGCCUAACACAUGCAAGUCGAACGGCAGCACAGUAAGAGCUUGCCCUUACGGGUGGCGAGUGGCGGACGGGUGAGGAAUACAUCGGACUCUACUUUUUCGUGGGGGAUAACGUAGGGAAACUUACGCUAAUACCGCAUACGACCUACGGGUGAAAGCAGGGGAUCUUCGGACCUUGCGCGAUUGAAUGAGCCGAUGUCGGAUUAGCUAGUUGGCGGGGUAAAGGCCCACCAAGGCGACGAUCCGUAGCUGGUCUGAGAGGAUGAUCAGCCACACUGGAACUGAGACACGGUCCAGACUCCUACGGGAGGCAGCAGUGGGGAAUAUUGGACAAUGGGCGCAAGCCUGAUCCAGCCAUACCGCGUGGGUGAAGAAGGCCUUCGGGUUGUAAAGCCCUUUUGUUGGGAAAGAAAAGCAGCAGGUUAAUACCCCACUGUUCUGACGGUACCCAAAGAAUAAGCACCGGCUAACUUCGUG